CUAGGCUUGUAAAGCUCAUUCGCCGGUGAAGAUAAUGACGGUAACCGGAGAAGAAGCCCCGGCUAACUUUUUGUCACCACCACCGGUAAUACGAAGGGGGUUAACGUUGUUCGGAUUUACUGGGCGUAAAGCGCACGUAGGCGGAUUGCUAAGUGAGGGGUGAAAUCCCAGGGGUCAACCCUGGAAGUGUCUUUCAUACUGGCAAUCUAGAGUUCAGAAGAGGUGAGUUGAAUUUCGAGUGUAGAGGUGAAAUUCGUAGAUAUUCGGAGGAACCCCAGUGGCGAAGGCGGCUCAUUGGUCUGGAACUGACGCUGAGGUGCGAAAGCGUGGGGAGCAAACAGGAUUAGAUUCCCUGGUAGUCCACGCCGUUAACGAUGAAUGUUAACCGUCGGGCAGUUUACUGUUCGGUGGUGCAGCUAACGCAUUAAACAUUCCUCCUGGGGAGUACGGUCGCAAGAUUAAAACUCAAAGGAGUUGUCGGGGGCCCGCACAACCGGUGGAGCAUGUGGUUUAAUUCGAAGCAACGCGCAGAACAUUAUCAGCCCUUGACAUCACGAUCGCGGAUACGAGAGAUCGUAUCCUUCAGUUCGGGUGCAUCGGAGACAGGUGCUCAAUGUCUGUCGUCAGCUCGUUUCGUGAAAUGUUGGGUUAAUUCCCCCACCGAGCCCAACCCUCAUCUUUAGUUCCCACCAUCAAGUUGGGCAUUUUAAGGGGCCUCCCGGUGAUAACCCGAGAGAAAGGUGGGGAUGACGUCAACUCCUUAUGCCCUUUGCGGGCUGGGCUACACGCGUGCUACAAUGGUGGUCACAGGGGGCAGCGAGACCGAGAGUUCGACCAUAUCUCCAAAAGCCUUCUCAUUUCGGUUUGCACUCUGAAAUUCGAGUCCAUGAACUGGGAAUCGUUAGUAUUCCCAGACCACCAUCCUCCGGUAAAUCCGUUCCCCGGGCCUUGUACACACCGCCCGUCACACCCAUGGGAGUUGGUUACACCCGAAGGUAGUGCGCUAACCGCAUAGGAGGCAUGCCUCCAACCCAAGUGUUCCCACCUGC
rnacentral:rRNA from 1 species